CCUACGUGUGUCAGCAGUGGGGGAUAUUGCACAAUGGGGGAAACCCUGAUGCAGCGACGCCGCGUGAGUGAAGAAGUAUUUCGGUAUGUAAAGCUCUAUCAGCAGGGAAGAAAAUGACAGUACCUGACUAAGAAGCCCCGGCUAACUACGUGCCAGCAGCCGCGGUAAUACGUAGGGGGCAAGCGUUAUCCGGAUUUACUGGGUGUAAAGGGAGCGUAGACGGUUAUGCAAGGCUGGUGUGAAAGCCCGGGGCCAAACCCCGCGACUGCAUUUGAAACUGUGUAACUGGAGUACAUGAGGGGAAAGAGGAAUUCCUGGUGCAGCGUCGAAAUGCGUAGAGAUUAGGAGGAACACAGGCGGCGAAGGCGUCCUGAUGGACGAAAACGGACGUUGAGGCUCGAAAGCGUGGGGAGCAAACAGGAUUAGAUACCCUGGUAGUC
rnacentral:rRNA from 1 species